UACGUAGGGCGCAAGCGUUGUCCGGAAUUAUUGGGCGUAAAGAGCUCGUAGGCGGUUUGUCGCGUCUGCCGUGAAAACCCGAGGCUUAACCUCGUGGCUUGCGGUGGAUACGGGCAGACUAGAGGUAGGUAGGGGAGAAUGGAAUUCCCGGUGUAGCGGUGAAAUGCGCAGAUAUCGGGAGGAACACCGGUGGCGAAGGCGGGUCUCUGGGCCGUAACUGACGCUGAGGAGCGAAAGCGUGGGGAGCGAACAGG
rnacentral:rRNA from 1 species